UUUACAUGGCCAUCAUCUUUUUAAUAUUAUGAUGCGACCCCAUCGGCGGUGAAUUGGUUCACCGUUCAUGUUAAACAACCCAAGGGAACGCAUUAUUCAAUCGCCUUGGACUUGAACUGGGGGAAUCGUAUUGCAAUAAGUUUAACAUGCUGCAAUUAUUUUCAGCUUAAAGACGCUCUCAAGAUUCAGCCUACCAAGAGACAAUGGGGAUCAUUUGAAUAUGAUCACUGAGGUGGCUUUCAUGCUUGAAGCACAAGGUUCCGGCAUUUCCAUUAAAGAAGUCACGGAAAAGUUAUGAUUAUGGUUUAAUGCUAUGCUGCUACAGCCAAAGUUUUCUCAACGGACUUUCAAAUGUGAAGGUAUAUGAAAUUAUAAACCAUGAAAAAGUUUAGAACGUAGGAUUGACUGUGUUGCAGCAGCAGCAUAUGGCUAAUGGCUCCUGUGCUCAUAGGUUAUAGCAUCAAGUUUCCUGUCAAUACAUUAUUGAUAUUUUAGUUAUUUGAUGCUUGAAGUUGAAGGUAUAAGAAUUAUUGCUCCAUCAAAAGGCUGGCUGUUGAAGUGAACUUACAUAAAAGGCGAUCUGAAUUUUUUGUACUAUCCUACUACAUAAUUCUUGUUUCCUGUUAUAAAUUGGUUUGUUGAAGCAAUGGUCAAGUACUGGUGGCCCGUUAUGUUUUUUUAUCUAUAUCUCCUUUUGAGUAGCUUGGUGUGAGAAUUAUAUAUGAGUAUUACUGUUAAAAAUACAUAUUAAACCAGUUUAUGGAUAGCAGGUAUUAUCAGGAAGACAAAAGGAUUUCAUUAGCUUUUCGUUAGUACAGAUACUACCAUACUACACUAUAAACCUUCUCCCAAAAGACCUGGUAAUUUUAGUAGUUGGGUCGUCAACCGACAACCUUUAGCUGUUUGAUUGACCAGGAAAGGAGAUAGAUAAAUAUGAUAUAGCUAAUGCAUAUUUUAAUGUUGUCAGGGUAAUCCGGAACUUGAAGCUGCAGAGAUGUUUCUAGUAGUACUUCUGUUAGUCCACCUUAUUAGACUGCACCACCUGAAAGAAAACAUUUUGAAGGGUUAUUACAUUCAAACAACUUAUGUCAUGAACUAGUAAGUCUAAUGGCCUAGAUUGCUUACCAUAUUCUCGUGGUGUUUUGCAUUUAUAGCAUUCAGUCCUACUGGCAUAAUUGUGUAUGCCGCAUCCAACUCUGAGAAAUCCAGUUACCGUCGUAUUAGAUUCAAAAUUUCACAUAAAAUGACAAAUUUUCCAAUAGUUAUACAUAAUUAAGAUCAUAAUAUUAUUUAUUGUAAUUGCAUAUAACAGUCUAAUGUGCCAUUGCUAAGCAUCACUAAAAGUUAAUACAAACAAAAAUAAAGUGAAGAUAGAGUAAACAUAGAUAUACCUGUUACAAACCCAGUCUCCAGCUUUCCAGCCAGGUGGGACUGUGUUGUUAUACUCAUAGCCUCCUGAUCCCAUAAUGCCAGCCCCAUGACCACUGUAAUCUUCUUUAGGAACACCGCACCUGUAGCAACUUGCCCUGCUAGCAUAGUUAUGUGCUCCACAUCUGAUUUCAUGGCAGUACCAGUCCCCAGGCAAGCCUUCUGGUUUACUCAUCCCAUAAGAAGACAUAUUGCAAGCUUCACCUCCAACCUUAGGAAACCUACAACGCUGACAUGAAUCCCAUCUUUUAAAAUUUAAGUACUGGCAUGAACCACACAUCCAGUCUCCGCUUUUCUGCAUCUUCCUUUUCUUGAUAUGUUAUACUGGAAAAAAAAAUAGUUGGAAUAUGUUAAAUUUAUCACAUUUCCAGUAUUUCAUCUUAUGAGCUUAGAUAACUGCCAAAUAAAAUACUACAACAAGUAUCGUGUAGAUAGAAAUGCCUAUGUAUUACUUUUCUUAUCGAAGGGGUUAGGAGAGCCUUAUAGCUGUUGAUUGGCAAAAAAGAAUUCUAGCGACAUCAGACAUAAAAAUUGUUAAUAAAUGUGUGUGUGUGUGUGUGUGUGUGUGUGUGUGUGUGGUGAGUCGAUGGAAUUAUAGUUCUUUUUUCUAUGAGUGUUCUAAAUUGAUGGUCGAAUGGAGGCUACAUUUUCCAUAAUUAAUACAUGUGGUUAACGUAGAGGUGGAAAUUACUAUUGAAAAUUGUGGUGGUAACUAAACUAAAACGAUACAGUAAAGCAGAGUUCCAAACCUAUGAAUUCUAUAGGGUGAAGACAAGCUUAAAUCAACAGGACUCACCUCAAGGACUUGAAUGAUGAUAGCUGGAAGAAUAGGAUUAGCAGAUCACAGAUAUGUUGGUGGAGCAAGUUUUAUGAAUGGGUUGAAGUGUCUUAUAUACUAGCUAAAGUGUCAUGAGGAGGGCCAUGGUGGACCUUUUCUUGUCAUAUAAGUCUUUGGGUUUUUCAACUAAUUAUGGGAUUCUUAAAGUAGAAAAUUCUGAUAUAUCUAUACAAACUAUUACUUCUCCAUAACCUUCUUUUGGGAGUGUAGGGUGUAAAAAGGAAGAGCUUGUAAAGGUGUUUGAUUAGUAUGUGCAUGCAUAAAAGCUUAUGAUUUCCAAAUUUCUUUCUACAAUGCACCAGUCUCAACAAUAUUCUUGUGCAUUAACUGAUUAAAAGGGCUUCUAGGCGAUAUUCUACUUUCCCACUGUCUGUUUCUAGCAAGGUGCAUGUUGUGAGGGAAGAGACUAAUUGAAAGUCUAAUUUGGAUAAACUAAAUUCCCUGUCUCUUGAUUAAAGGGAUUUCCUGUUCUUAAGCAUGGUGAUUUGUUGCUUAUGUUGAUUCCGCGUAAACUGAGUACCGACCCUCUUUCUGCACUAGGCUUAUAUAGUUCCGGUUUAUGCUAUUGAGGUUGGAAGGGCAAAUAGCUACAGGAAGUUCCUAUUAGGAAUCAGUUCCCAAUAAUGCACAUCCAUUGCCAAAUUCUAUUCUUCCUUCCAUGUUUUGAUUCUCCUUUAUGCAAUAAUGCAAAAGCCAUUUGAAGAUGCAAACCUGGUGGAGGUGUUCUAAUCAUUUAGUGAUAUGUGUAUGUGUAUGUAACAGCAUAUGCAUAUGACUAAUGACAAUUCUUGCUAUAAACCAACCAUGUAUGCUUACUUUAUAUUAUUAAAUUGAUAAUUUGCUUAUAUAUUAUUGUCCAAUAUCAUCUCAUUUUUUAUCUUUUUCCAUUUUCUGGAAGAUUGUGUAAUAUUAUCUGAUAAACGUGUUGAGACUUGAGGAUAUGGGUCAUCAUAUCUUGACAAUUGUCCGCACAUUAUGCUGUAACCAUACUUUUGCGCUGAUUGCAUCCUCAGGAAAGUUGCAGGUAUUGAAGAAUUAUAUGAGCAUGAAGCAUUACCAGCAUUCUACAAGACAAAGAAUUCAUUACGCUAAGUAGAAUGACAACAGAAUAAUUGGCUAAAAAAUGUUCGACCACAGAACAAGUGACUAGUGUUAAGGUAGCCUAGUUCAUGGGCGAGUACACUUCACUAUGAUGGAUCUGACACUUCGAGAACUUUAGGAGUAAACAGAGGAUUGAAUCUGAAGCCGGAGAUGGUUUCUUGUCUAGCUAAACCCAAUGACCCCCUGGUUUCAUGCAUUUGAGUAGCUAAUCCUGUGUAUGGAACGGCCAGAUCAGCAUCGUCGACCAGUUAGAAAGUCCUUCCACCGACUCACCAGCCCCGGAUAACUGGUCCCAUGUUUUCCGAUGUGUCAUUUCAGAAAUAACACGUGAGCUGGUUGUUAACCUCUAAUUGGAAAAGAGAGAAUCCUGAUCACCAACAAUGCAGCAGACAAUGUGAAUAUUCUGCAACAGCAGGAAAACCUCAGACAAAAUCCCAGCAAUGAGCUAUCUUUAUUCUGCAUAUCUAUAUUUUAUAUGACUAAUAUAAAUGGGGACAAAUUCUGCUCAAUAAUACUGCAAGAAUCAAUAUCCUCUCAAUUCUAUUUGAAUUUGCGGGUUUUUUCUGUAUUUUGAAUAUUCCUUCUUAUAUUAUGUUUGUUUCAGCUUUCAAUAGCUUUCGGCUUCAGGCUCAUGCUGCUUCCAUUUGGUCUCAGAAGUCGAAUUAUACACGACUCUAUAUAAAUUAUGGAGAAAGGGCCAAAAAGAAUGAAAAGGAUGUUUAAAGUAAAAAAAUAAAUACACAGGGACUUGCUACUGUAAAUCCACUUGUAUCAAUAUAUUAAUGUUAAAGAAAAGAAUGGAAUUACAGAAAAAAUGAAAAAACUAUUAUUCAAAUUAUUUUGAUUUAGCUAUUUGAUAUACCGGUAUA